rnacentral:rRNA from 1 species
CGAUUCGGGGAGGUAGUGACAAUAAAUAACGUUGCAGGUGCCUUUGGCCUCUGCAGUCGGAAUGAGUACAAUACAACACCCUUAACGAGGAACAAUUGGAGGGCAAGUCUGGUGCCAGCAGCCGCGGUAAUUCCAGCUCCAAUAGCGUAUAUUAAAAUUGCUGCAGUUAAAAAGCUCGUAGUUGAACUUCGGAACCGGUCGAUUGGUCCGUCCUCUGGAUUGUGUACUGAUCGAUCUGUUCUUCUUCGCGAAGACCGCGUGUGCCCUUAACUGGGUGUACACGGGAUUCACGACGUUUACUUUGAAAAAAUUAGAGUGUUCAAAGCAGGCAUUCGCUUGAAUAUCUCAGCAUGGAAUAAUAGAAUAGGACUUUGGUCUUAUUUUGUUGGUUUCCGAGACCGAAGUAAUGAUUAAUAGGGACAGUUGGGGGCAUUCGUAUUUCAUUGUCAGAGGUGAAAUUCUUGGAUUUAUGAAAGACGAACUUCUGCGAAAGCAUUUGCCAAGGAUGUUUUCAUUAGUCAAGAACGAAAGUUGGAGGCUCGAAGACGAUCAGAUACCGUCCUAGUUCCAACCAUAAACGAUGCCGUCUGCGGAUCAGCGGUCGCUCAUUUAAGGCUCCGUUGGCACGCUAUGAGAAAUCAAAGACUUCGGGUUCCGGGGGGAGUAUGUUCGCAAGAAUGAAACUUAAAGGAAUUGACGGAAGGGCACCACCAGGAGUGGAACCUG